CUGGAGGAUUGAGGAAACACCAUACAAUCAAGCAGUAUCAGACACCAGGAGGAUCCUAUGAUACCAGCAACAAAUGAUUCUCAGGUUUAUGGAUUCAUCACAUGAAUUUCUUGCAAAUCGAUGUUCCGAUGCAGGCAUUGCAUUUAUCGAGUCCCAGGAAAGUCCGGCCAAAACUGUAGCUGGGUUUGACAUGGGGCACAGAAGAAGGAAAAACCGCUGCUUCUAAGAAAGGACUCCAGCUCAGGGUCAAAAACUGAAUCAGUAUCAAUAAACCUAGAACAUUAGAGCAAAGCUGUUUCAGGCCCCGACGCCCCACCCAUCACCACAUUAGAAAAUAACAACAAGAAGUUCUCAUCUGUACAUUAUGCAGACAAAUGAAGGAUAUCCGUAGGGUAUACAAAGGACACUUACAUCGG